CCUACGGGGGGCAGCAGUGGGGAAUAUUGGACAAUGGGCGAAAGCCUGAUCCAGCCAUGCCGCGUGUGUGAAGAAGGCCUUCGGGUUGUAAAGCACUUUCAGUGGGGAAGAAAGCCUUGGGGCUAAUACCCUCGAGGAAGGACAUCACCCACAGAAGAAGCACCGGCUAACUCCGUGCCAGCAGCCGCGGUAAUACGGAGGGUGCGAGCGUUAAUCGGAAUUACUGGGCGUAAAGCGCGCGUAGGCGGUCUGAUAAGCAGGUUGUGAAAGCCCCGGGCUCAACCUGGGAACGGCAUCCGGAACUGUCAGGCUAGAGUGCAGGAGAGGAAGGUAGAAUUCCCGGUGUAGCGGUGAAAUGCGUAGAGAUCGGGAGGAAUACCAGUGGCGAAGGCGGCCUUCUGGACUGACACUGACGCUGAGGUGCGAAAGCGUGGGUAGCAAACAGGAUUAGAUACCCGUGUAGUC
rnacentral:rRNA from 1 species